GUCAAGAUGGCCGAGUGGUCUAAGGCGCCAGACUCAAAUUCUGGUCUCCGAAUGGUAGGCGUGGGUUCAAAUCCCACUUCUGACA